rnacentral:rRNA from 1 species
AUUGAACGCUGGCGGCACGCCUAACACAUGCAAGUCGAGCGGCAGCGAGACUAGUAGCAAUACUAGUUGUCGGCGAGCGGCGGACGGGUGAGUAACACGUAGGAAUCUGCCCUUAAGCGGGGGAUAACCAAGGGAAACUUUGGCUAAUACCGCAUAAUCUCGAGAGAGCAAAGCUGCCCGCAAGGGUGGCACUUGAGGAGGAGCCUGCGUCCGAUUAGCUAGUGGGUGGGGUAAUGGCCUACCAAGGCGAUGAUCGGUAACUGGUCUGAGAGGACGACCAGUCACACUGGGACUGAGACACGGCCCAGACUCCUACGGGAGGCAGCAGUGGGGAAUAUUGGACAAUGGGGGCAACCCUGAUCCAGCGAUGCCGCGUGAGUGAAGAAGGCCUUCGGGUCGUAAAGCUCUUUAGGUUGGGAAGAAGGGUAUUGGCUGAAUAAUCCAGUACUUUGACGGUACCGACAGAAUAAGCACCGGCAAACUCUGUGCCAGCCGCCGCCGUAAAAC